rnacentral:rRNA from 1 species
GAUGAACGCUGGCGGCGUGCUUAACACAUGCAAGUCGAGGGGCAGCAUGAACUUAGCUUGCUAAGUUUGAUGGCGACCGGCGCACGGGUGAGUAACACGUAUCCAACCUGCCGAUGACUCGGGGAUAGCCUUUCGAAAGAAAGAUUAAUACCCGAUGGCAUAGUUCUUCCGCAUGGUAGAACUAUUAAAGAAUUUCGGUCAUCGAUGGGGAUGCGUUCCAUUAGCUUGUUGGCGGGGUAACGGCCCACCAAGGCAUCGAUGGAUAGGGGUUCUGAGAGGAAGGUCCCCCACAUUGGAACUGAGACACGGUCCAA